rnacentral:lncRNA from 1 species
ACAGAGCUCCUGCUAGGGGAUCGGGAAGGAGUGGCAUUGGCAAUUCAAGAUUGUCUUUCCUACCCUUUUUAGUGCCUCUCUCCUUAAUAUAAUGGUAAAACCAGGUACUGUGAUCAUUCACCUGAUUUUUGGUUCUUAUGAAGGUGCUUUUUAUUGUGUAGAUAGUUGUUUCAUUUGGCAUUCUUGUUGGGGGGAUUAUGGCUGGCGGCUUCUAUUUGGCCACCUUGCCCCACCUCCCCCUCUUUACCUUUUUUUUAACGGUAAGUCUGCUAGUGACAGAUCCCUUUAAUCUUCCUUUGUCUGAGAAUAUCUUUUUUAACGGUAAGUCUGCUAGUGACAGAUCCCUUUAAUCUUCCUUUGUCUGAGAAUAUCUUUUUUCCCCUUCAUUCCUGAAGGAUAGUUUUGCCAGACAUAGAUUUUGUGAUUGACAAUUUCUUUUUCAGUACUUGAAAAAGGUGUCAUUUCAUUUUUCCCUCCAUGUUGUCAGAAAUCUGCUGUCAUUUGAAUUGGUGUUUCUCUAUAGGAAAUGUAUUGCUUCUUUCUGAUUGAUUUCCAGAGUUUUUCUUUGUUUUUAAUUCAUAAGUUUAAUUCUGAUAUUUCUUAGCUUUGAUUGUUGUUGUUUGUUGUGCUUGGGAUUUACUCAGUUUCUUGAAUUUGUGCGUUUAUCUUUUGCUUAAUUUGGUUAAUUUUCAAUCAUUAUUUCUUCAAAUACUCUUUUGGCUCCACUCUUUUAUCUUCUCCUUUUGGAGCUCUGAUGACAUGAAAACUGGAUAUAUUGUUAUUGUCCCACAGGUCCUUGAAGGUUUGUUAAAUUUUUUCAGUUAAUUUCCCUCUUGUUAAGAUUGGGCAAAUUCUAUUAAUAUGCCCUCAAUCUCAUUGAUGUUAUCUUUUGUCAUUUCCACUGUACUAUUGAGCCCAUUCAGUGAAUUAUUUCUCUUAUUAUAAUAAUUUUCAGCUCUUAAUUUCCAUUUAGUUAUUUUUAUAACUUGUUUCUUUGCUGAGACUUUAUUUUUCAUUUGUUUCAAAUAACUUGUAAUUGCUUGUUUAAUCAUUUGUAUGAUUAUUGCUUUAAGACUCUUGUCACAUAUUUUGAACAUAUGAUUCAUCUCACUGUUGACAUCAUUUAAAUGUCUUUUUUUUUUCAUUCAUUCAAGUUGUGAUUUUCCUGCUUCCUAAUGUAGAAUGACUUUCAAUUGUGUCUCAGACAUUUUGGCUAUUACAUUAGAAGACUUUGGGUUCCACCUAACUUUUUAAUUUUAGCAGGCACUCACCCUGUUUAGAUUUAACAUGCAAGUCCUGGCCUACUUUUUGGGCUGUGAUUCCAAUGACAAUAUCAUUUCAGAGCCUUUAUGGCACUAUUUUUGUCCGUUUGGUUCAUCUCUUCCCACUGGGGUCCCACUGAUCCCUGCUUAUGUUGUUUGAGAGUGCUGAAGAAGCUUGCUCAGGCCAAGCUGCCUGGAGCUUGAAGGUAAAGAAAGGGAGCCUCUUUGCUUCAGAGAUGAAUGGCAUUUCCUGAUGCUUGUUAUAGAAGCCUCCUCCUGUCUGUGGAGGAUGAAGAGUGCCUCUGUAGUUGGGUGCUUAUUGUGGUAGGGCUCCUCUGAGUGUCUCUGAGUGGGAGCAAUGAGUCUUAAGCCAGCAAGAACAAAUAGGCUUCCCAGACUGGGUGCAUCUCGUGGCAGUCUUCCUCACUGUCUGUGGGAAAUGGAGAGCGCCUCCCAGGCCACACACUUAUUGUGGCAUAAUCUCACUUGUCAAUCCCUCCACUUCCCCACACAACCCUCAACAUACGUGGUAUCUCUAAGGGGCAGAGAGGAGCCUCAAGGCCAGUGGGAAACGAGAAUGCUUUCCCAGCUAGCACUUGCUAUGUCAUAAUCCCCUUUGCCAAUGCCAGUAGUGGUGUGGUGUCACUGGGUGAGUGAGGUUGUAGAGUGCUUAUGGUCACUUCUGGUCAGGAUGGUCGCUUAUUUUCAGUGUGGCUUCUGAUUGAUUCCCCUUGCUGGUCCUGCUAGGUAUGCAUAAUGUUGUUGUUGGGACUCCUCUUCCAUCUGGGGGACAAAUGAGCUUACAUUAGCUGCCCUUUCUCUUAAUAGGUUAGAGAUUGGGGAAGUGCCACCUCUGUGUGUCCUUCUUGGCUUUCUUCUGUUGGGUGAUAGUUCAUAAGAUGCCCUGCCACGAUGAUGUUCCUCCAGUCCUGUAGUCCCUCUUCCACCUUUCAGAGCAUUUCUCUGGUUGUCUCUUGAGUUAGUUUCAGGAUUUAUAGUUAUACUUAGCAGGGAGAAAGGAAUAGAGGUAGGUCUCUACCAUCUUGUUCAGACCAUAAAUCUCAUCUUUCUUUUUAAUCUCUGUUUUAGUGAUCUUUAGUAAUCUUACAAUUCUCUUUACUAUCACUUUUAACUUUUUCAGCUUUUGUACUCAACAGAUAUUAAAGAGUUAAUAAUAUUUGUAAAACACCUUAGAAUCCAGUACAAAAUCAACAAAUAUGCAUCCAUAUAACAAAUACUGUGAGAACAGAUACUAAAAUGUUGGUAUGUAAACACUUAAAACACAGUACUUUUGUUGGAAUAAGUCUUUAUUCCCGUAUAAGCUUGUAAGUAAGGAAGAUUUACAUAUUUGCAAUUAUAGUGAUCUUUUAUUUAGUUCUUAGUGUACUCAGAUAAUGCUAAGGUCUUUAAUAUAUUACAUCACGGACUCUUGACAAUAACCAUAUAUGGUAGUGUAGUGAGUUGAAUAGUGUCCCUCCAAAAUGAUAGUCCAAUUCCUAACCCCCAGUACCAGUGAACAUGACUUUAUUUGGAAAAAGGGUCUUUGCAGAUGUAAUUAAGUAAAGGAUUUCAAGAUGAGAUCAUCCUGGACUAUGGUGGGCUCUAAAUCCAAUGACUGGUGUCUUAAUAAGAGGAAGGAGAGAGAUUUGAGACACAGAGAAAUAAGGUCAUGUGAAGAUGGAAGCAGAGAUUGAAAGUAUGUUGUUGCAAGCCAAGAAAAGUCAAGGGUUGCCAUUAACCACCAGAAGCCAGGAGUGAAGCGUGGAAUGGAUUUUCCCUCAGAGCUUUCAGAAGAAACCAAUCCUGCCAACUUCUUGAUUUUGGACUUCUGUCCUUCAAAAAUGUGAGAGAAUAAAUUUCUACAGUUUUAAGCCAGUAAGUUUGUAAUAAUUUGUUAUGGCAGAGCUAGGUCACGAGUACAGGUAGUAUUAUAAAUCUCCAUUUUACAAAUGAGGAAACAGGAUCAGGAAUGUUAAGUGACUGGCAUAAGUUACACAGCUAGUAAGAAGUGGAGCUGGGAAUUAAGCUGGAGACUAUCUACUGCAAAGCUUUUAUUUUUCAACCUUAACCUUUUAAAAUUUCAUUGAUAACAAGUUAAAAACAGCAUCAUAACCUCCACACUUCUCACUCCUCUAACCCUUCCUCCAGGGACCUCUCCCUAUCUCAAGACAUCCAUUCCUCUUACAGACUCUGAGUUCUUCUAUCUCACGGCAAAUUAAACUGGUUCUAGGGGAGAGGGCAGUGUUUAACACAAAGGCAAAACCUCUGAUAAGGAGUCUUCAGAUCACGAGCAACAGAUCAGAGGUAGAGAUGGUUUUAGGCAGAACAGGGCCUGUCAGUUCACAUCAUCCAUGGUGAUGCCUUGUUUCAACCACACUUAAAGCUAGCACAUCCAUCGUUUUGAGGAUUAGGCUGCAGAAAAAGACAUUUGCCUCAUGGAACUCAGUCUGUGGACAUUGAAAGUAAGUAAGGGCUGUCAUCCAAUUCACCCCCUGCCAAGAAACCUUGUAUCAGGUGCUGGGGAGGAAAGCAGCAGUUGUUACUUCCCUGUGGAUCAUCUAAAAGUGUUUCUUUGUUAAUAGGAUGUCAUUAAACAUUAUGCACACUUGGCUGGAUAUUAAAAUUAUAGAUGAAAACAUUUUUUUAAAAAUGUGUGCAUGUAAAAAUAAGCUCAUGUGUGAGAACAGAGUGGCUAAGCAGCAGACGGCACACUCUGGGGCUGGGGGCCCUGAUGCCAUGUGUGUCACCAAAUUUGGUUUCACUAAGUCAUUUCAAUAUCAAAUAGUGAGAGCACCUACUGUGUGGCAGGCCUUGUUCUGAGUGAUUCUCUGCUUGGUGUCAGCUACACUGGAUACAUUCUUAACUCACCAUUCUCUGAAUAUAACUAAGAUAAACAGAAUGUCACUUUUUUCUUGCUUCUUUUGGCAGGAAUUAGGAAAAAAUAGGAACAGAUAAUUAUACACUAGAGCCAAAUAGACCUGAGACUGAAUUCUGUUUUAACCUUGACCUUUCCAAAUGGAAUAUUUCACAUUCAUUCAGCUAACAACCUUGAACAAAUGGCUCAGUGGUUAAAAGUCAGAGAAAGAAUUAACAACAGUCAGUUAUUUUCUGAAAGACUAGCCAAAGAAUAGUUUCCAAAAUACUAAUUACUUAAAUCUUGCUGGAAAAAAAUAUUCAAACACAUUUUUAAGUUUUAUUGUUUGGAUCAACACGGACAUAAGAAAAUUAUCAGUGUACUUAUAUCUUAUGAUUAUAUGAGUCUUUGCCUCAGAAUAAUUCUCUCUGAGAACUUUAAGGAACAAAAUAUUUCCUUAGUAGCAAAACAUUUCAUGUGGCAAGAGCCUCACUGAGUAAAGUUCAGUGUGAGAGUAGAACCCGGUGCCAUGAUUGUACAACUUCUACAGCUUGUCUUGUGGUCUAGUCAGUCAUGGAGAAGGUCCCCCAUUCUAGAACAGACCCAAUGUAAAGCCAUUCUUUGGAUUCCAAUCUGCCAUAGGCUGUCUGUAAAAUAUGGCAUGCUUGAAGUUGGGCUGGAGGUUGACUCUGAAAGAUAAUGCUUCAACAACACAUCUAAUAUCAGAAGUAGGAAUAUUCUUGAUGAUAAAGAGCUUUUUGAAAGGGUCUGUUGCAUGAUUGAAUGAUGAUGGUGAAGCCUGCCUUGAAUUUUAUGGGGUUAUCUGCCAUUUGAUACAUGCAAGCAACAAGGAUCUCCUAGGUCUGAAGGAAUAGCAUAAAUAAAAAAGAAAAAGGUAUAGAUAAUUACAAUAAUUUUUAUUUGCCUAGAUGAGUGGUAGACAUUUAUGUAAUAUUACUAGCAUAAAUCUACAAAACUCCUUUAGUGAGUCUUAGAUGCCAUCAGACAGAAAUGAUUUUACCUUGAGGGUGAGGUGAGGGGGUGCACUAUGUACCAGUGAGCAAGUAAAGCUCAAAAAAGGUGGUCUUCUUCCUGAGUAUCGAUUUUACUUACAUUUGAGAAAAGCUAUUAUUUUUACUAGAGUGUGGCACCCUAUCAGAGCUUAUGUAUUUCUUCUCCAGUGGAAGAAGCAAUCAGCUGUCUGCCACACACAGACAGCUAGAUCCUCAUAGAAGGGGUUUUGGAAGGGUUCCUUUUCAUUAAGCCAAUGGAAGGCAAGCCUAGGAAAAAGAUAUUGUGAGGACUCAUUUAACUCAGCAAAGCAAACUUCUACUUCUUAUUACCUAGUUCAGGUAGAGUCCUGGGAGGUGGUAGAAAAUUUUGCAUGAGGAGUUAUGGGGUCCUCCAUUUCCUUCUCUGCUAUUCUUGGUCAGAGGGUUUCCAGCUUUAAUCCAUAAGCAGAUACUUAUGCACUGGCCAUGCUUGGAAGUUGUCAGGAGGCUGACCUGCAUGCUUCUCAGUCAUUGACAUGCAAAGGCAGGGCGCUCCAGCAUUAGGUGUCUGCCAAAAAGCUGGGUCUCUGGCUUUCAAUCCACCAUCACCCUUUUCUGACUACUGCCCUGUGUCUUCCAGAGCAUUUUUGUCAUGUACCCUUUCUGCCUCUAACAUUGGUGCAUUAACACCUCUUCCUUCCACACUGCAGUUGUGCCCCCUCAUAAAAAGGUUGAGCCCUCAGUGGCGAUUCCUUUCAGGAACAGGGCAGAUGACUUGUCCAAUGGUGUGUUCCCAUGCUGAGUGUGAAACUAGUGGAAGACUUGCACUGGGGAGUCAAAAUCGACUUUUAUCCUGCAGUGCUGGUGUGUGAGGAACCUAUGGGAUGUGAUCAGGACUAAGGAGACUUCAGGAGAGUGGAAGAGCAGACUCCCACCACUGUGUGGCUCUGCAGAUUAGAGCCAGAGACUGACCAAGCAGAGAAAUGAUUGCUAGAUGAUCCAUGUUACUCCAAGAGGGGCAGUUAUUCUUAACCAUAUUUACCACCUUAACCAGAAACCUGGCCUCCCCUGCAAGAAGCAGUAGAGAUGUUCAUUUUUUUUUUUAAUUUUUAACUUUGAAAAACUAAAUCAUUGGAGGCCAGGGUGUAUAUCAACUUCAAUAGCCCUAAUUUCUUUCUAUCUAUCUAUCUAUCUAGCUAGCUAGCUAGCUAGCUAUCAUCUAGCUAUCCAGAUCAGGGUUUCUCAAACUUGGC